rnacentral:rRNA from 1 species
UACAGAGGUCUCAAGCGUUGUUCGGAUUCAUUGGGCGUAAAGGGUGCGUAGGCGGCGCCGUAAGUCAGGUGUGAAAUCCCGGGGCUCAACCCCGGAACUGCACUUGAUACUGCGGUGCUUGAGGACUGGAGAGGAGACUGGAAUUCCCGGUGUAGCAGUGAAAUGCGUAGAUAUCGGGAGGAAGGCCAGUGGCGAAGGCGGGUCUCUGGACAGUUCCUGACGCUGAGGCACGAAGGCCAGGGGAGCAAAC